UACAGAGGUCUCAAGCGUUGUUCGGAUUCAUUGGGCGUAAAGGGUGCGUAGGUGGCGCCGUAAGUCGGGUGUGAAAUUUCGGAGCUUAACUCCGAAACUGCAUUCGAUACUGCGGUGCUUGAGGACUGGAGAGGAGACUGGAGUUCAUGGUGUAGCAGUGAAAUGCGUAGAGAUCAUGAGGAAGACCAGUGGCGAAGGCGGGUCUCUGGACAGUUCCUGACACUGAGGCACGAAGGCCAGGGGAGCAAACGGG
rnacentral:rRNA from 1 species